rnacentral:rRNA from 1 species
UAUGUGAUCGUCUCUUGCAUAUCAAUAAGCGGAGGAAAAGAAACUAACAAGGAUUCCCCUAGUAACGGCGAGUGAAGCGGGAGGAGCUCAAAUUUGAAAUCUUAAAGGGUUUCCCUUUACGAAUUGUAGUUUAAAGAAGUGUUUUCUGUUGAGGUUUUGGUAAAAGUUCUUUGGAAUAGGACAUCAUAGAGGGUGAUGAAUCCCGUAUUUGACCUUUACUUUCAACUUUGUGAUACACUUUCAAAGAGUCGGAUUGUUUGGGAAUGCAGUCCAAAAUGGGUGGUAAAUUUCAUCUAAAGCUAAAUAUUGGCGAGAGACCGAUAGCGAACAAGUACCGUGAGGGAAAGAUGAAAAGAACUUUGAAAAGAGAGUUAAACAGUACGUGAAAUUGUCAAAAGGGAAGCGUUUGACACCAGUGUUGUUUUUCUGAAAAUCAAUUAAAGAACUGUUUAUGCUAAGCUGUUUAGACUUUAUCAGCUAACUGUUUAGUUUUGAGCUUUUCUUUAAUGCACUUUUCAGUUAACAAGUCAACAUCAAUUUCUUUUGCUGUAAAAAAGCUUGAGGAAGGUGGCUUGAGAUUCGUCUUAAGUGUUUAUAGCCUCUUGCCUAUGCAGUCGGAGAGAUUGAGGUCUGCAGCGUAGAUCCUUCGGGGCUAAAUGCAUUUGUGCUAAGUUAUAGCAUUUUAUAGACAACUUGUUGACUAUGAUUUGUCUUGUAGCUUACUCGCUUAUGUUAUUUUACCUACGCUUAGGAUGUUGAUCUACAGAGCGAGAGU